rnacentral:rRNA from 1 species
GGAGUUUGGGCCGUGUCUCAGUCCCAAUGUGGCCGUACACCCUCUCAGGCCGGCUACUGAUCGUCGCCUUGGUGGGCCGUUACCUCACCAACUAGCUAAUCAGACGCGGGACCAUCCUAUACCACCGGAGUUUUUCACACUGCUUCAUGCGAAGCUGUGCGCUUAUGCGGUAUUAUCAGUCGUUUCCAACUGCUAUCCCCCAGUAUGAGGCAGGUUCUCCACGCGUUACUCACCCGUCCGCCACUAAGAUAAAACAAGUUUUGACCGAAGUCUCGACAGCGUUUCAUCUCCGUUCGACUUGCAUGUGUUAGGCACGCCGCCAGCGUUCAUC